CCGGGAGUAGUAACGGCGAGUGAAGCGGCAACAGCUCAAAUUUGAAAUCUGGCGUCUUCGGCGUCCGAGUUGUAAUUUGCAGAGGGCGCUUUGGCAUUGGCAGCGGUCCAAGUUCCUUGGAACAGGACGUCACAGAGGGUGAGAAUCCCGUACGUGGUCGCUAGCCUUUACCGUGUAAAGCCCCUUCGACGAGUCGAGUUGUUUGGGAAUGCAGCUCUAAAUGGGAGGUAAAUUUCUUCUAAAGCUAAAUACUGGCCAGAGACCGAUAGCGCACAAGUAGAGUGAUCGAAAGAUGAAAAGCACUUUGGAAAGAGAGUUAAAAAGCACGUGAAAUUGUUGAAAGGGAAGCGCUUGCAGCCAGACUUGCCUGUAGUUGCUCAUCCGGGUUUUUACCCGGUGCACUCUUCUAUAGGCAGGCCAGCAUCAGUUUGGGCGGUUGGAUAAAGGUCUCUGUCAUGUACCUCUCUUCGGGGAGAACUUAUAGGGGAGACGACAUGCAACCAGCCUGGACUGAGGUCCGCGCAUCUGCUAGGAUGCUGGCGUAAUGGCUGUAAGCGGCCCGUCUUGAAACACGGACCAAGGAGUCUAACAUCUAUGCGAGUGUUUGGGUGUCAAGCCCGAGCGCGUAAUGAAAGUGAACGGAGGUGGGAACCUUUCGGGGUGCACCAUCGACCGAUCCUGAUGUCUUCGGAUGGAUUUGAGUAAGAGCAUAGCUGUUGGGACCCGAAAGAUGGUGAACUAUGCUUGAAUAGGGUGAAGCCAGAGGAAACUCUGGUGGAGGCUCGCAGCGGUUCUGACGUGCAAAUCGAUCGUCAAAUUUGGGCAUAGGGGCGAAAGACUAAUCGAACUAUCUAGUAGCUGGUUCCUGCCGAAGUUCUCCUCCAGGAUA
rnacentral:rRNA from 1 species